rnacentral:tRNA from 1 species
GGGGAUGUAGCUCAAUGGUAGAGUGCUUGCUUUGCAUGCAUGAGGUCCUGGGUUCGAUCCCCAGCAUCUCCA